AGUGGGGAAUCUUAGACAAUGGGGGCAACCCUGAUCUAGCCAUGCCGCGUGAGUGAUGAAGGCCCUAGGGUCGUAAAGCUCUUUCGCCUGUGAAGAUAAUGACGGUAGCAGGUAAAGAAACCCCGGCUAACUCCGUGCCAGCAGCCGCGGUAAUACGGAGGGGGUUAGCGUUGUUCGGAAUUACUGGGCGUAAAGCGCGCGUAGGCGGACUAUUAAGUCGAGGGUGAAAUCCCGGGGCUCAACCCCGGAACUGCCUUUGAUACUGGUAGUCUUGAGUUCGAGAGAGGUGAGUGGAAUUCCGAGUGUAGAGGUGAAAUUCGUAGAUAUUCGGAGGAACACCAGUGGCGAAGGCGGCUCACUGGCUCGAUACUGACGCUGAGGUGCGAAAGUGUGGGGAGCAAA
rnacentral:rRNA from 1 species